rnacentral:rRNA from 1 species
UGGGGAAUAUUUCACAAUGGGCGCAAGCCUGAUGCAGCGACGCCGCGUUGGGGAUGACGGCCUUCGGGUUGUAAACUCCUUUCGCUAGGGACGAAGCUUUUUGUGACGGUACCUAGAUAAGAAGCACCGGCUAACUACGUGCCAGCAGCCGCGGUAAUACGUAGGGUGCGAGCGUUGUCCGGAAUUACUGGGCGUAAAGGGCUCGUAGGUGGUUUGUCGCGUCGUCUGUGAAAUUCCGGGGCUUAACUCCGGGCGUGCAGGCGAUACGGGCAUAACUUGAGUACUGUAGGGGUAACUGGAAUUCCUGGUGUAGCGGUGAAAUGCGCAGAUAUCAGGAGGAACACCGAUGGCGAAGGCAGGUUACUGGGCAGUUACUGACGCUGAGGAGCGAAAGCAUGGGUAGCGAACAGG